UCUGGGCUAAUAGCCGGGCGGAUGACCUAAAGCUGAAAAGCACCGGCUAACUUCGUGCCAGCAGCCGCGGUAAUACGAAGGGUGCAAGCGUUACUCGGAAUUAUCUGGGCGUAAAGCGUGCGUAGGCGGUUCGUUAAGUCCGAUGUGAAAGCCCUGGGCUCAACCUGGGAACUGCAUUGGAAACUGGCGGGCUGGAGUGCGGAAAAGGGAGGGGGAAUUCCCGGUGUAGCAGUGAAAUGCGUAAAUUUCGGGAGGAACAUCCGUGGCGAAGGCGGCCUCCUGGACCAGCACUGACGCUAAGGCACGAAAGCGUGGGGAGCAAACAGGAUUAAAUACCUUUGUUUUUUCUACGCCCUAAACAAUGCGAACUGGAUGUUGGGUGCAACUUGCCACUCAGGAUCGAAGCUAACGCGUUAAGUUCGCCGCCUGGGAAGUACGGUCGCAAGACUGAAACUCAAAGAAAAUUUGAC
rnacentral:rRNA from 1 species